UACCAGCUCUUCGAGUGGUAUGGAUGUUUAUUGGGCCUAAAGCAUCCGUAACUGGCUGGGCAAGUCCCCUGUUAAAUCCACCGAUUUAAUCGUUGGAGUGCGGGGGAUACUGUUCGGCUAGGGGACGGGAGAGGCAGACGGUAUUUUCGGGGUAGGGGUGAAAUCCUAUAAUCCCGGGAAGACCACCAGUGGCGAAGGCUGUCUGCUAGAACGCGCCCGACGGUGAGGGAUGAAAGCUGGGGGAGCGAACCGGAUUAGAUACCCGGGUAGUCCCAGCUGUAAACGAUGCAGGCUAGGUGUUUGGGCGGCCACGUGCCGCUCUAGUGCCGCAGGGAAGCCGUUAAGCCUGCCGCCUGGGGAGUACGGCCGCAAGGCUGAAACUUAAAGGAAUUGGCGGGGAGCACCACAAGGGUGAAGCUUGCGGUUU
rnacentral:rRNA from 1 species